UAGGGAAUCUUCGGCAAUGGACGAAAGUCUGACCGAGCAACGCCGCGUGUGUGAAGAAGGUUUUCGGAUCGUAAAACUCUGUUGUUAGAGAAGAACAAGGACGUUAGUAACUGAACGUCCCCUGACGGUAUCUAACCAGAAAGCCACGGCUAACUACGUGCCAGCAGCCGCGGUAAUACGUAGGUGGCAAGCGUUGUCCGGAUUUAUUGGGCGUAAAGCGAGCGCAGGCGGUUACUUAAGUCUGAUGUGAAAGCCCCCGGCUCAACCGGGGAUGGUCAUUGAAAACUAGGAGAAUUGAGUGCAGAAGAGGCGAGUGGAAUUCCAAGUGUAGCGAUGAAAUGCGUAGAUAUAUGGAGGAACACCAGUGGCGAAGGCGGCUCUCUGGUCUGUAACUGACGCUGAGGCUCGAAAGCGUGGGGAGCAAACAGG
rnacentral:rRNA from 1 species